CAUCUAGGGAUCUUGUUAAAAUGCAGAUUCUGAUUUAGAAAAUCUGAGAUUUUGUGUAUCUAACAAGCUUUUAGGAUGAUG
rnacentral:miRNA from 1 species